rnacentral:rRNA from 1 species
CUAUUUAGGUAGCGCCUCGUGAAUUCAUCUCCGGGGGUAGAGCACUGUUUCGGCUAGGGGGCCAUCCCGGCUUACCAACCCGAUGCAAACUGCGAAUACCGGAGAAUGUUAUCACGGGAGACACACGGCGGGUGCUAACGUCCGUCGUGAAGAGGGAAACAACCCAGACCGCCAGCUAAGGUCCCAAAGUCAUGGUUAAGUGGGAAACGAUGUGGGAAGGCCCAGACAGCCAGGAUGUUGGCUUAGAAGCAGCCAUCAUUUAAAGAAAGCGUAAUAGCUCACUGGUCGAGUCGGCCUGCGCGGAAGAUGUAACGGGGCUAAACCAUGCACCGAAGCUGCGGCAGCGACACUCAGGUGUUGUUGGGUAGGGGAGCGUUCUGUAAGCCUGCGAAGGUGGCCUGUGAGGGUUGCUGGAGGUAUCAGAAGUGCGAAUGCUGACAUAAGUAACGAUAAAGCGGGUGAAAAGCCCGCUCGCCGGAAGACCAAGGGUUCCUGUCCAACGUUAAUCGGGGCAGGGUGAGUCGACCCCUAAGGCGAGGCCGAAAGGCGUAGUCGAUGGGAAACGGGUUAAUAUUCCCGUACUUGGUGUUACUGCGAAGGGGGGACGGAGAAGGCUAUGUUGGCCGGGCGACGGUUGUCCCGGUUUAAGCGUGUAGGUGUGUGUUCCAGGUAAAUCCGGUUCACUUUAACACUGAGGCGUGACGACGAGGCACUACGGUGCUGAAGCAACAAAUGCCCUGCUUCCAGGAAAAGCCUCUAAGCAUCAGGUAACAUCAAAUCGUACCCCAAACCGACACAGGUGGUCAGGUAGAGAAUACCAAGGCGCUUGAGAGAACUCGGGUGAAGGAACUAGGCAAAAUGGUGCCGUAACUUCGGGAGAAGGCACGCUGACACGUAGGUGAAGUGAUUUACUCAUGGAGCUGA